AGUGAACGCUGGCGGUAGGCCUAACACAUGCAAGUCGAACGGCAGCACAGGAGAGCUUGCUCUCUGGGUGGCGAGUGGCGGACGGGUGAGGAAUACAUCGGAAUCUACUCUGUCGUGGGGGAUAACGUAGGGAAACUUACGCUAAUACCGCAUACGACCUACGGGUGAAAGCAGGGGACCUUCGGGCCUUGCGCGAUUGAAUGAGCCGAUGUCGGAUUAGCUAAUUGGCGGGGUAAAGGCCCACCAAGGCGACGAUCCGCAGCUGGUCUGAGAGGACGAUCAGCCACACUGGAACUGAGACACGGUCCAGACUCCUACGGGAGGCAGCAGUGGGGAAUAUUGGACAAUGGGCGCAAGCCUGAUCCAGCCAUACCGCGUGGGUGAAGAAGGCCUUCGGGUUGUAAAGCCCUUUUGUUGGGAAAGAAAUCCAGCUGGCUAAUACCCGGUUGGGAUGACGGUACCCAAAGAAUAAGCACCGGCUAACUUCGUGCCAGCAGCCGCCGUAA
rnacentral:rRNA from 1 species